AGCCGAUGGGCGUUCUAGUGUUAC
rnacentral:siRNA from 1 species